rnacentral:rRNA from 1 species
AUUGAACGCUGGCGGCAUGCUUUACACAUGCAAGUCGAACGGCAGCACAGGGAGCUUGCUCCCGGGUGGCGAGUGGCGCACGGGUGAGUAAUACAUCGGAACGUGUCCUGUUGUGGGGGAUAACUGCUCGAAAGGGUGGCUAAUACCGCAUGAGACCUGAGGGUGAAAGCGGGGGAUCGCAAGACCUCGCGCAAUUGGAGCGGCCGAUGCCCGAUUAGCUAGUUGGUGAGGUAAAGGCUCACCAAGGCGACGAUCGGUAGCUGGUCUGAGAGGACGACCAGCCACACUGGGACUGAGACACGGCCCAGACUCCUACGGGAGGCAGCAGUGGGGAAUUUUGGACAAUGGGGGCAACCCUGAUCCAGCCAUGCCGCGUGCAGGAUGAAGGCCUUCGGGUUGUAAACUGCUUUUGUCAGGGACGAAAAGGACCGUGUUAAUACCAUGGUCUGCUGACGGUACCUGAAGAAUAAGCACCGGCUAACUACCGUG